GGAGCUACCAUUGUAGAUAGCUUGGAGAAGAACUAGAGAGCAACACACCCAAUUUAGAGGGAGAAAGAGCAAAAUCUAGAGAAAGAAAGCUUGGGCUUGGAAGAAGAUUGAAGAUUGAAGAGAUUCUACUACAAGAUUCCUCCUCCUUUGAGUUUUCUCUAUCUUUUAUUACUCUCUAAAUUGUAUAUAUAUAUAUAUAUAUUGUGUUUGACAUGGGUUUAAUGAUGAAUAUAUAUUUUAUUUUGGAUUUGGUUGAUAUUUUGCCCAUGGAUUGCUAGAUUUACUAUGUAGGGUGUUGAUGGAACUUUUAUUUGGAUUGUAAUUGAAUGGUGGUUGAUUAUUAUUGUGCAAUCCCAUUAUUUUCUUGUGUAUUCCUUGGAUUUAAUGUUUGAAUAUGCCUAAUUAGAUUGGAAAUCAGCCCAAGUUUUAAUUAGAGUUGGAAAGCUUAGUUAGGAAGUGGGUAACCUAGUAAGGGGAAUUAAUGCAUGACUUUUUAGGUUAAUUUAGGAAGGGAUUCUUGAAUUUCCAUUAAUUAUCCAUAGAUUCUAAUUUUCCUAGGGAUAGGAAGUUGGAUGCAAUUAGAAACCUUUUGGCUAGAAUUAAGGAUAGAAAUCCAAUAGUAAUCACCCAAAGUAAGUUCAAUUAUGGGAAGAAUAAGAGGGAAAUUACUAUCUUAGAGCUUUAGAUCAUAAUAUUUGCCAUUUCCAUUACUUAUGUGUGUUGUUUCUCUUGAGUUCUUGUCCCACUAUUUUAGUUUAAUCUUAAUAUUAAUUUUACUUUUUGUUGACACUAGUUUUAAUUUAAAUGGUGUGCCUAAUUAAAAAGAAUUAGUCAAUAAUUUUGGUACUUAGCAAAGUUUCUAACAUCAAUUCUCGAGGGAAGGAUACUCACUCAUCAAUUUAUUACUUGUACGACCCAUAUACUUGCGGAAUUAGCUCAUCAUAUAUAUAUAUACACAUUCUAUUCACAGGCUAGAAGAUUUUAUAAUUUGUUCUCAACACACUAACUGGAGUAAAGUCUAUUAAGAACACAUACAAGCAUAUAUAUUAAAUUGCCACUCAUUAAGGAUAGAAAAACAGAAUUCCCCUGUUUUCUAGGUAUUUAUUUCCUCAGAAAUAGUGUAGAUGAAUGUGAUAGAACAAGCUAAAACAAAGAUUCAGUUACCAUAUAUUACAUUUGCAUACAAAUUCAAAUACGUACCAAGUACAAAUGAAGCUAUUGUGAUAAGGUAACACCGAAAACCUAUUCAUAUUCUUACUCUUCUUGAAUUUGAGAUAUGAUUCUCUAAUUUCUUGCAUUUUGUAAAAGUCUUAAAUGCCUGCUCAAGUAUUGAUUUGCAAGGUAAAGAUUUCAAAGCUCUAGUUUGUGAUUUUGUGCCAAAUGGAAGUUGGCAAAGUUGGCCGCAACCAAUUCCUAGAGCAGGAGAUAUAGAUGGUGAAUGGAGGACGUUAAGUCUUCUCCAAAGAUUAAAAAUUACCAUUGAUGUAGCCUUUGCUUUGGAUUGUCUUCAACACCACUGCCAAAUACCAAUUGUUCAAUUCUGCUUGAUAAUGAUCUGAUUGCUCAUGUGGGUGAUUUUGGAGUGGUAAAUCCUCAAGUCUAUCUCCACAGAAUCAAAGCAGCUCAGUUAGAUUGAAAGAGACUGUUGGCUUUGCUGCACCAGAAUAUGGCAGGGGAAGUUGUGUUUUAACAUAUGGUGAUGUAUACAGCUAUGGGAUACUCUUGUUAGAGAUAUUCACAGGGAAGUGUCCUACUGAUGACAUGUUUAAAGAUGGAUUGGAUCCCCAUAGUUAUGUUAAGGUUGCAAUACCUGACCAUUUGUCAGAAGUUUUAGACCCACUGUUUCUGGUUGGAGGAGCUGGAGAAGACGAUGAAGCAAACAGGUUCAUUGAGGGACAGAGCAAAAGGGACCGAAUACAGGACUGCUUGACUUCAAUACUUUGAAGUAAUUUAUUUCUAUUUCUCGCUCUUAACUUUAUCCUGUUGAUGGCUAAAUUAAAACCCAGUACUUUAAUCCGUGGUCUUACCAAGCAACAACGUUUUAGUCAGUUUUCAUCAAAUUUUUAUAGAGUUAAAAAAAAGAAAAAAAAAAAAAAAAAAAGAAGAGGAAAACGGGCUAUUAAUACUUUAUUGUCAUGUUCUAGGUAUAUCAGUAGGGCUAUUAAUACUUUGGUGUUUUUAUUUGAGAAUCAUUGUUCUGGUUGUCACCAUGGUUUAUUUAGCUUGUUAGUUGUUUACUCCAUGUAUGCUCAAGUACUUAAACUUGUUUUUUAGUUUUAAAAGAUAACAUACCCAAAAAACAGUUUUUUUAACA